rnacentral:rRNA from 1 species
CUACGGGGCGCUGCAGUGGGGAAUCUUAGACAAUGGGGGAAACCCUGAUCUAGCCAUGCCGCGUGAGUGAUGAAGGCCCUAGGGUCGUAAAGCUCUUUCGCCAGGGAUGAUAAUGACAGUACCUGGUAAAGAAACCCCGGCUAACUCCGUGCCAGCAGCCGCGGUAAUACGGAGGGGGUUAGCGUUGUUCGGAAUUACCGGGCGUAAAGCGCGCGUAGGCGGAUUAGAAAGUUGGGGGUGAAAUCCCGGGGCUCAACCCCGGAACUGCCUCCAAAACUACUAGUCUAGAGUUCGAGAGAGGUGAGUGGAAUUCCGAGUGUAGAGGUGAAAUUCGUAGAUAUUCGGAGGAACACCAGUGGCGAAGGCGGCUCACUGGCUCGAUACUGACGCUGAGGUGCGAAAGUGUGGGGAGCAAACAGGAUUAGAUACCCCCGUAGUC